rnacentral:rRNA from 1 species
UACGUAGGGGGCAAGCGUUGUCCGGAUUUAUUGGGCGUAAAGAGCGUGUAGGCGGCUAGAUAGGUCCGUUGUGAAAACUCGAGGCUCAACCUCGAGACGCCGAUGGAAACCAUCCAGCUAGAGUCCGGAAGAGGAGAGUGGAAUUCCCGGUGUAGCGGUGAAAUGCGUAGAUAUCUGGAGGAACACCGGUGGCGAAGGCGGCAUCCUGGACCGGUAUUGACGCUGAGGCGCGAAAGCCAGGGGAGCAAACGGG